ACGGCCAUACCACAUUGUAAACACCGGUUCUCGUCCGAUCACCGAAAUUAAAAAUGUCGGGUCUGGUCAGUACUCAAUUAUUAUUGCGCCUUCUACAUGCUAUAGGA